AGUGAACGCUGGCGGUAGGCCUAACACAUGCAAGUCGAACGGCAGCACAGUAAGAGCUUGCUCUUACGGGUGGCGAGUGGCGGACGGGUGAGGAAUACAUCGGAAUCUACUUUUUCGUGGGGGAUAACGUAGGGAAACUUACGCUAAUACCGCAUACGACCUACGGGUGAAAGCAGGGGAUCUUCGGACCUUGCGCGAUUGAAUUAGCCGAUGUCGGAUUGGCUAGUUGGCGGGGUAAAGGCCCACCAAGUCGGCGAUCCGUAGCCGGUCUGAGUGGAUGAUCGGCCACACUGGAACUGGAACACGGUCAUGGCUCCUACGGGAGGCAGCAGUGUGGAAUAUUGGACAAUAGGCGCGAGCCUGGUCCAGCCAUACCACGUGGGUGAAGAAGGCCUUCGGGUUGUAAAGCCCUUUUGUUGGGAAAGAAAAGCAGCAGGUUAAUACCCCGCUGUCCUGACGGUACCCAAAGAAUAAGCACCGGCUAACUUCGUG
rnacentral:rRNA from 1 species